AGAGUUUGAUCCUGGCUCAGAUUGAACGCUGGCGGCAUGCCUUACACAUGCAAGUCGAACGGCAGCGGACCUUCGGGUGCCGGCGAGUGGCGAACGGGUGAGUAAUAUAUCGGAACGUGCCUUUCAGUGGGGGAUAACGUAGCGAAAGUUACGCUAAUACCGCAUAUUCUCUGAGGAGGAAAGCAGGGGACCUUCGGGCCUUGCGCUGAUAGAGCGGCCGAUAUCAGAUUAGCUAGUUGGUGAGGUAAAGGCUCACCAAGGCGACGAUCUGUAGCGGGUCUGAGAGGAUGAUCCGCCACACUGGAACUGAGACACGGUCCAGACUCCUACGGGAGGCAGCAGUGGGGAAUUUUGGACAAUGGGGGCAACCCUGAUCCAGCCAUGCCGCGUGAGUGAAGAAGGCCUUCGGGUUGUAAAGCUCUUUCGGCCGGGAAGAAAUCGCACGGGCUAAUACCCUGUGUGGAUGACGGUACCGGAAUAAGAAGCACCGGCUAACUACGUGCUAGCAGCCGCGGUAAUACGUAGGGUGCGAGCGUUAAUCGGAAUUACUGGGCGUAAAGCGUGCGCAGGCGGUUUAGUAAGACAGGCGUGAAAUCCCCGGGCUCAACCUGGGAACUGCGCUUGUGACUGCUAAGCUAGAGUACGGCAGAGGGGGGUGGAAUUCCACGUGUAGCGGUGAAAUGCGUAGA
rnacentral:rRNA from 1 species